AUUGAACGCUGGCGGCAGGCCUAACACAUGCAAGUCGAGCGGAGCGGCGGACGGGUGCGUAAUGCCUAGGAAUCUGCCUGGUAGUCGGGGUUAACGUCCGGAAACGGGCGCUAAUACCGCAUACUAUCAGAUGAGCCUAGGUCGGGUUGACUAGUUUGUGGGGUAAAGGCCUACCAAGGCGACGAUCCGUAACUGGUCUGAGAGGAUGAUUAGUCACACUGGAAAUGAGACACGGUCCAGACUCCUACGUGAGGCAGCAGUGGGGAAUAGUGGACAAUGGGCGAAAGCCUGAGCCAGCCCUGCCGCGUGGGUGAAGAAGGUCUUGGGAUUGUAAAGCACUUUAAGUUGGGAGUCGUUACUAACAGAAUAAGCACCGGCUAACUUCGUGCCAGCAGCCGCGGUAAUAC
rnacentral:rRNA from 1 species